AGCGAACGCUGGCGGCAGGCUUAACACAUGCCAGUCGAGCGGGCACUUUCGGGUGUCAGCGGCGGACGGGUGAGUAACGCGUGGGAACGUGCCCUCUGGUUCGGAAUAACUCAGGGAAACUUGAGCUAAUACUGGAUACGCCCUUUUGGGGAAAGGCUUGCUGCCGGAGGAUCGGCCCGCGUCUGAUUAGCUAGUUGGUGAGGUAACGGCUCACCAAGGCGACGAUCAGUAGCUGGUCUGAGAGGAUGAUCAGCCACACUGGGACUGAGACACGGCCCAGACUCCUACGGGAGGCAGCAGUGGGGAAUAUUGGACAAUGGGCGCAAGCCUGAUCCAGCCAUGCCGCGUGAGUGAUGAAGGCCUUAGGGUUGUAAAGCUCUUUUAUCCGGGACGAUAAUGACGGUACCGGAGGAAUAAGCCCCGGCUAACUUCGUG
rnacentral:rRNA from 1 species